AGAAUGAAGAUGGCUUCCUGUCCCGCUAGCGUCACGUCGGGAUCUGCCUUCACCAAGGCCUUCACUCGCGCCAGAGGCAACCUCGAGAGACGAGCCCCAGGCACACUCGUUGGGGCCUGGGGCUGCGAGGCCGCUGCCUCCCCAGCAGGCCAUUAUAACUACAUUCUUAGAAUGUGAUCCCUUUCAACAUUUCCUGCACCUCUGCUUCUGCACACUACCACCAAAAGACAAGAAAGGCAAGGAGACGUGACUGGAGCAAGAAAAACAGUGUUUUUCACACAAGGAUGUCCACUCCUUGUUGGGAAUGGCUUAAGAUCGACCUGGGAAAGCAAAACAUCGCCAUAUCAUUUGGAGGAAAGGCACUGGUUGGAAGAGCCUGUUGGCGUGGCAAAGCCAAGGUCUUUAAAGUCCUCAGAGAAGGCAGGCAUAGCCACCACUGGAGGACUUCCUGAUAUGUGGUACAGAGACUGAUGAGGGCAUGGGGUGACAACCUUAGGUGCCAACAGCAAGGGGAUGGAUAUACAGGGUAAAGGAGGCUUGCUGCCAUCCUACGCCUUUGAACGCCACAAAUCAGAGAUGGUACCAUGGAGGAACAUGAACAGGGUGAUGACAUCAAACUCAAUUCGGAGAGAGGAAAGGGUAGUUAUGAAGCAUGCUCCACUGGUGCUGCUGGAUAGUGAGGGUGGGCAGACUUGACGACCACCAGUCCAGGACCUAGACAGCCUGAAGACACGGGGGCCUGAAAAGGUAGUUGGGGAUGCCCAAAGAAUGCUAGUCCUGGUGCCAAUGCAGCAGACAGUCACCUUGUCUGUUGUCGAGUAAACAAGUGCCUCCUCUUGGGCCUGUGAUGCCUGCCAGCACAUGUCUUUCUCAGAGGUGGGCAUAUUCUCUAUUUGGGAAACAAUGGGUAGAGGGAUUGAAGCAGGAGAAGUUUCAGAGAAUCACUCUUGCAAGAGAUGCUGCACUCUGGCAGACUCGAUAAUGACAAAUAUGUCAAGCAACUGAGUUUCAGCAGGGUUCCUUCGGGCCUUGUUCACCAACUUGUGGUUUCCGUGGUGACAGGACAGCUGCCAGGUAGAUGGCGGCUUUGGGGCCACCUGACUGGCUCUGACGAUAACUGGCUUUGACAGCUUUGAUUGGAAUGAAAAGAUUUAGGGUCCCUACUGGCUUUCUUAAAUUAAACCCUCCCUCCUGGAGUUAGCUUGUUUAUCAACAUUAUCUUAGAUUAGGGGACUUUCUUGUGAUCAGAGAGUUCUUUUACCACGAUGGUUCACAUGUUGGGGCCACUGGCAGGGUUUCUGAGAUCAGGGUCCUCGGAGCAGCACAGAGAGGUAAGGCUACACCCUGAUGUGCUUCUCAGGCAAUGCCUCCAAGGGGCAUGUUAACAGUCAGAUCUAGUUAGGAAAGAAAACAGGAAAAGGACCUGCAUUUUAACAGAAAUAAUUUAAUCUAGGCAAUUGAGUAAGCAGGUAUUAGAGGCUGAAAGGCAAAAAGGAAGUAUCAAGAUAAACACAGGGAUGGUAACUGCCAGAGGCAGCUCUACCUCUGGGGCUGAAGAACACAGGGAAGAUACUGGGGUUGCAAUAAUUUCAAAGCUUGGAAGAGGAGCCCUGCGGAGCUGGGACCUAGGCUUCUAAGGAGCGGCGACUGCACAGUAUCUGUGAGGCUGGAUUUGAGAGUCCAGAAAAUGUUGAAGACUGGAACCCAUUGCUAUUGAGGUCCACCAGCAGGCACUGAACAAACACUUCAGCCCGCAUGCCCAAACUCUGUGUAAAGGCCGCUAAUAAGAGCCACCCCUUAGCUAUCCCUGAGGCCUCAGUGACCUCACCACAGACGGGACAGAUGGGAAGAGGUUCACACAGCCCUGGAAGAGGCUGGGACAUUUGAGCAGGGAAUUCUGGGCCCUGGGUUACGAACCAUGCACCAAAAGGAGGACUGGCCCUGGGUGGCACACAGACAAGGCCCAUGAACUUCUUGUCCUAUGGGGCGGGGCCAGCCCCACCAAGACCAGGGCAGGGCACCUAAAACCACAGCCCAGGGUUGCACCCUGAGAGAAUAAAAGAGACUACCGGGGCAGAGCGGAUCCUAGAAGGGAGAGGCACUAUGGGGCCAGCCUCUUUCUGAAGCCCCACCCAGAGAAGCACCCUUUGCUGGAAAAGAAAACAGCAGAAGCCAAGGUAAAUAACAUCUUUGUGUGGCGUGUUGCAGCUGUCACAGCCGCCAGCAGACAGCCGACUCCCUCACCAGUAAACACCGCGGCUUAGGUGUUGCCCACCGGGCACCGGAAGGCGGCCCCCUUCUCGCUCUCCAGUGAAUGUUCCUAAAACAACUGCGGGGUCCAAGAGCACAGGGAGAACAGCGCCCCUGACGCAGGCUGCGCACCCGCCCGGAGGAGGCAGUGCGUCAGUCCUGAGGUCACCGCCACCCGCUCCCGGGGGACGGCCGCCUGGGCAGGUGAGGAGGCGACCACCUCCCAGACGCCUGCCGGAGCUGCGGCGCACCGACUCCCUGCUUCUCCGAGCGGCGAGCGCCACCUGGAGGCUCCCUCGAGAUCUGCAUUUAGGAGGCGACGGGUCCUUUCAUCGUUUUAUUCAUUAAACAUUUAUCGAGGCCUGGAGCGAUGGUUCAAGCCUGUAAUCCCAGCACUUUGGGAGACCGAGACGGGCGGAUCACUUGAGGUCAGGAGUUGGAGACCAGCCUGGCCAACAUGGCGAAACCCCAUCUCUACUAAAAAUACAAAAAUUAGCCGGGCACGGUGGCGCACACCUGUAAUCCCAGCUACUCAUGAUGAGGCUGAGGCACAAGAAUCGCUUGAACCCGAGAGGCGGAAGUUGCAGUGAGCGGAGAUGGAGCCACUGUGUGUUAGGCUCUGGCGACGUGGGGAGAAAUAAAGAUAAUGUCUUGUUUCCCAGGGCAUUAAUAGCGUGAUGGGGAAGACAGGCCAUCAACAAUGUGCAACACUAAGGGCUAGGAAAGAGGUGGAUACAAAGGAGGGAAUAAGGAAUGUGGUCAUUCCUUAAGGUGUUUAUUGGUGCCAGGUACUGUUCAAGGCACCAAAAAGAAUGGAACCAAACAGAGAUCCUGCUCCCAAAGAGCUCAUAGUGGAAGGACAGCCAGACAAGCUUAGAAUUACGGGACAGGCCUAAGAAGGAGCCAGACUGGGGACCAGAGGCGUCCGAAGGGAAGUCCAGGAAGUACCGCAGGAAAACGUGAUAUAUAUUAAAUCUUAAAGAAUGGGCAGGAUUUUGCCAGGCUUAGUGACAAGAUAUCUUCCGUAAAAUCGUGGAACUGAAAAGAAAGGAUAUAGGUUGAAGAAGGGCUAGUUCUGUGUCUGAAAUAGAAGGAACAUGAAAGAGAAGUGCUGGGACAUGGGGCAAAAAAGGGAGUUUGGGGCCAGAUCGUGAAAGCCUUGGUUUAACAGGUGAAAAGUUCAAAUUUGAUCCAGGUAGCUGGCAGAGUCAGAGGUUCUAAAGCAGAGACCUGCUCUAUAGAAAGCUCACCAUGAAGUACAGCAGUGAUGGUGGAUGAAGAUACCAACAGCUCAACCUCCUAUGUGCCAGGGAAAUGCUGAGCGCUUAGCACCUGAUAUUUAUCUUAAUUCUCUAAAUGGGCCUAUGGGGUAAGCAUAUUAUUAUCCCAAUUUUAUUGGAAUACUUCCCUGGUAGGGCCCCUAAACAGGUAGCCAUCAAAUGCCUGAUAAAUUCCAGCUAGCUUUAAAUUCUAGUCGCUACAGAGCAGAGCCCUUCCAUCGCACUGAGCUGAAGGAGCCAGAUGGGCAUUACAGACAAGACCCACUCAGUAGGUGAAAUCAACAGAGCCUAAUGACUAUCUAGAUCUGCAAGAUGAAGAAUAGGAAAGAGCUAAAGACAAGAUUAUGAUGAAAAGUUUGAUUUUGAAAUAAUACAUUUUUAAGAGCUGAGAAAAACCGUAUCCAUCAUCCAGAACAACCGCCUAUUCUACCCACACUCCCAGCACCACAUCAGUACACGUGUGCCUGUACUCACCAUUCUGCCUUGCCUCCUGCUGGCAUGGACGAGUGCUGCGUGUUCCUAAGUGCCACCUUCCGCUGUGCACUCGAUCCCAUCCUCGCGCCCACGCAAGAACAUCGCUUCAUCAAUUGGUCCUUCUCUCACAUAUGAAAUUUUUGGUCUUUCUACUGAGUCAUUCCCAUAAAUAUACAUGUGUACUACAAUUUCUCUCAUCGUAAAAAAUAAUAAAAAUAUUUCCUUGACCUCAAA
rnacentral:lncRNA from 1 species